rnacentral:rRNA from 1 species
GCCUAACCUAACAUACAAUAAAAUAACCAAUUGUUCGCCAAACAACUACGAGUAAAAACUUAAAACUUAAAAGACUUGACGGUGCUUCACACCACCCUAGAGGAGCCUGUCUAAUAACCGAUACUCCACGAUUAACCCAACCCCCCCUAGCCAAACAGUCUAUAUACCGCCAUCGCCAGCUUACCUUGUGAAAGAAACAAAGUAAACACAACAGCACCACUAAUACGAUAGGUCGAGGUGUAACUAAUGGGCGGGAAAAAGAUGGGCUACAUUUUCUAACACAGAAAACACGAAUAGACUAUGAAAAUAGAAACCGAAGGCGGAUUUAGAAGUAUGAUAAGGACAAAAUACUUAACCGAAAUAAAAGCAAUGAAGUGCGUACACACCGCCCGUCAUCCCUGUCAAAAACAACAAAAUUCCAUAAACACAUAAAAUAUACUAAACAGGGCAAGUCGUAACAUGGUAAGCGUACUGGAAAGUGCGCUUAGAAA